rnacentral:rRNA from 1 species
GGACGAACGCUGGCGGCGUGCCUAAUACAUGCAAGUCGAACGAACUCUGGUAUUGAUUGGUGCUUGCAUCAUGAUUUACAUUUGAGUGAGUGGCGAACUGGUGAGUAACACGUGGGAAACCUGCCCAGAAGCGGGGGAUAACACCUGGAAACAGAUGCUAAUACCGCAUAACAACUUGGACCGCAUGGUCCGAGUUUGAAAGAUGGCUUCGGCUAUCACUUUUGGAUGGUCCCGCGGCGUAUUAGCUAGAUGGUGGGGUAACGGCUCACCAUGGCAAUGAUACGUAGCCGACCUGAGAGGGUAAUCGGCCACAUUGGGACUGAGACACGGCCCAAACUCCUACGGGAGGCAGCAGUAGGGAAUCUUCCACAAUGGACGAAAGUCUGAUGGAGCAACGCCGCGUGAGUGAAGAAGGGUUUCGGCUCGUAAAACUCUGUUGUUAAAGAAGAACAUAUCUGAGAGUAACUGUUCAGGUAUUGACGGUAUUUAACCAGAAAGCCACGGCUAACUACGUGCCAGCAGCCGCGGUAAUACGUAGGUGGCAAGCGUUGUCCGGAUUUAUUGGGCGUAAAGCGAGCGCAGGCGGUUUUUUAAGUCUGAUGUGAAAGCCUUCGGCUCAACCGAAGAAGUGCAUCGGAAACUGGGAAACUUGAGUGCAGAAGAGGACAGUGGAACUCCAUGUGUAGCGGUGAAAUGCGUAGAUAUAUGGAAGAACACCAGUGGCGAAGGCGGCUGUCUGGUCUGUAACUGACGCUGAGGCUCGAAAGUAUGGGUAGCAAACAGGAUUAGAUACCCUGGUAGUCCAUACCGUAAACGAUGAAUGCUAAGUGUUGGAGGGUUUCCGCCCUUCAGUGCUGCAGCUAACGCAUUAAGCAUUCCGCCUGGGGAGUACGGCCGCAAGGCUGAAACUCAAAGGAAUUGACGGGGGCCCGCACAAGCGGUGGAGCAUGUGGUUUAAUUCGAAGCUACGCGAAGAACCUUACCAGGUCUUGACAUACUAUGCAAAUCUAAGAGAUUAGACGUUCCCUUCGGGGACAUGGAUACAGGUGGUGCAUGGUUGUCGUCAGCUCGUGUCGUGAGAUGUUGGGUUAAGUCCCGCAACGAGCGCAACCCUUAUUAUCAGUUGCCAGCAUUAAGUUGGGCACUCUGGUGAGACUGCCGGUGACAAACCGGAGGAAGGUGGGGAUGACGUCAAAUCAUCAUGCCCCUUAUGACCUGGGCUACACACGUGCUACAAUGGAUGGUACAACGAGUUGCGAACUCGCGAGAGUAAGCUAAUCUCUUAAAGCCAUUCUCAGUUCGGAUUGUAGGCUGCAACUCGCCUACAUGAAGUCGGAAUCGCUAGUAAUCGCGGAUCAGCAUGCCGCGGUGAAUACGUUCCCGGGCCUUGUACACACCGCCCGUCACACCAUGAGAGUUUGUAACACCCAAAGUCGGUGGGGUAACCUUUUAGGAACCAGCCGCCUAAGGUGGGACAGAUG